GUCCUGAGCAUUAGUGCACAUGGGAUUAGAUGCCAAGGGAUAGCAUAACUUGAGAAUCUUUUUCUUUUUUUCAGGGCAGGGCUGCAGGUUGGGACCUUACCUGGACCUCUCAACUAGAACACCUACACAGCAUGGAGGCUGGAUUCUGAGGAAGAGCAUCCUGAAAGAGAGAGUCAGCUGGAAGCUGUGUCACCAUUUCUACACCCUCCUGGGAAGUCACACAAAGGAUGCUUCCUUUCUGAUGCGUUCUGUUGGCUAGAAGCAAGUCACUAAAGGAAAAGGGAAUUACACUCCAACUUUUGAUAGAAGACUGUCAAAGAUUUUUCAUAUGUUUUAAAACUACCACUUUCCAAUGGGAUACAAGUGGAACAAAGAAUAAGCAUAGGUUUUCUUUUGUAAUCAGAGAGACUGGUACACAUUAGUAGAAAUAAACAAGUGAAAGAAAGAAAUCUAAAUAUGUAUUAGAUUCUGAUGUGAGUGAAAGGCCAUUUCAAGACUGAAUACGUUGGUUGAUGUUUUGUGGUUCUGUGAACAUGGUCUUAUUAUUAUAUGCAUUUAGCGAUGUCAUUCAAUUACUAAUGAAGUAUCCUGCUUCUUACAUACCAUUAUUCCUCAG
rnacentral:lncRNA from 1 species